rnacentral:lncRNA from 1 species
GGGACUACUCGUCAGGAGAAGGGUGGAAUUACACUAACAUGGAAGUCUUCAGAUUCGAAUAUAGGUUGUUAUUGUAGCUAGACAUCAAAAGGAGUUUAUAUGGUUUAGUUGCUGUAUUCAAAUAAAUAAAUAACACUGCUAGAAUUAUCAGAUUUUUAUUACGCAGACAAAAACUAAUGCUGCAGAAAAAUAAACUCUCAAAACAGGCCCGCGUGAAUGCAUGGGUAGCCGAGUAGUCUUAUAUAAACUUCAGUGGACAAUUCAUAGUACUCGAUGGUAGGACGCUUGAAGCACAGAGAGAGAUAGAGCAAGGCAUAAACAUAUGAGGUGACCAAUGAUAAUGAGAUGCAUCAGGAAACAUGCAAGUCCACAGAAAAUCAGCGCUGCACCAACCUUCUUCUUCCUCGUCUCCUAUGGCUGCGGAUAGAGCCAUUGCGGCAGUGCGAUCUCAUUAUGUGAGCUCCAGCAUGGCGUCGCCACAAAGGGAAACCCGCAAGGGCGUAUUCUAGCAUGACAGGGUGCAUCCUGAUGCGUAGAGGUGAGAUCGAGACGUGGAGCAGAACAGCAAGGAGGCCGCAGACGCCACUGUGGCGGCAGACGCCAAGCCUAACUUGUUAUCCUCUUCUCCUUAGUCAACGCUACAUUUCUGUAAUGCUCCCUCCA